GGAGGGGAAGAGGCUAGUGU
rnacentral:misc_RNA from 1 species